rnacentral:rRNA from 1 species
ACCAGCGGGGAUAGCAUGACGUUGAAUGUACCAUUUCCCAAUAGAUCACUGACGUUGAACAACAUUGAGCGCGGUUAGUGUCGGGAUGGGUGACCAUCUGGGCAAUGGUGUGCUGCUGGCU